UUUGUGGAGAGUUUGAUCCUGGCUCAGGAUGAACGCUGGCGGCGUGCCUAACACAUGCAAGUCAAGGGGCUCGUUGUAGCAAUACGGCGAGCCACUGGCGCACGGGUGAGUAACGCGUAGGUAACCUGCCCUCAGCCCUGCCAUAACCUCGGGAAACCGGGGCUAAUAGCAGAUGAGGUCGGAAGGGGAAGCUCCUUCCGAUCAAAGGGGCAACCCGGCUGAGGAGGGGCCUGCGUCCUAUCAGGUAGUUGGUAGGGUAACGGCCUACCAAGCCGACGACGGGUAGCUGGCCUGAGAGGGUGGUCAGCCACACUGGGACUGAGACACGGCCCAGACUCCUACGGGAGGCAGCAGUGAGGAAUAUUGGGC
rnacentral:rRNA from 1 species